GCCUGCCCUGUGACCAUGGGUUUAACGGCCGCGGUAUUUUGACCGUGCGAAGGUAGCGCAAUCACUUGUCUUUUAAAUGAAGACCUGUAUGAAUGGCAUCACGAGGGCUUAGCUGUCUCCUCUUCCAAGUCAGUGAAAUUGAUCUGCCCGUGCAGAAGCGGGCAUAAGUACAUAAGACGAGAAGACCCUAUGGAGCUUUAGACACCAGGCAGAUCACGUCAAGCAACCUUGAGUUAACAAGUAAAAACGCAGUGACCCCUAGCCCAUAUGUCUUUGGUUGGGGCGACCGCGGGGGAAAACAAAGCCCCCAUGUGGACUGGGGGCACUGCCCCCACAGCCGAGAGCUACAGCUCUAAGCACCAGAAUUUCUGACCAGAAAUGAUCCGGCGAACGCCGAUCAACGGACCGAGUUACCCUAGGGAUAACAGCGCAAUCCUCUCCCAGAGUCCCUAUCGACGAGGGGGUUUACGACCUCGAUGUUGGAUCAGGACAUCCUAAUGGUGCAGCCGCUAUUAAGGGUUCGUUUGUUCAACGAUUAA
rnacentral:rRNA from 1 species